rnacentral:tRNA from 1 species
UGGGAUGUAGCUCAGUGGCAAAGCGCUUGCCUAGCAAGCGCAACGUCCUGGGUUCGAUCCCCAGUACCCAA